rnacentral:lncRNA from 1 species
CUAGAUUGCAACUAUAAAAACGAACAUACCCGAAGGCUUUUCAUUGAAAUACAUAAUUGAUCUCAUACACGGCUUACAUUUAUUAGAAAAGCAACAACUUAUGCACUUCAUACAUUAGAAAUAGUGAUAGGUGACAUGAGACCACAGACGACAACAUUAUAAACUUCAUACUAAUUCACUUUUCACUUUUCUGCCUUGGCUCCAAUCGUGUAGAUCGAAUCCUUGGAAUUGACAUCAUCAGUGUAUGCCGAGACAUUAGGCCUAGGCUCAAAAUCUUUAGUGUAAGAUUUCUCAUCCUUUGAAUUGACAUCAUCAGUGUAUGCCGAGACAUUAGGCCUAGGCUCAAAAUCUUUCGUAUAAGAUUUCUCAUCUGUGAGCUUAACGUCAUCGGUGUAUGCUGAGACAUUAGGUCUUGGCUCAAAAUCUUUCGUAUAAGAUUUCUCAUCUGUGACCUUAACGUCAUCGGUGUAUGCUGAGACAUUAGGUCUUGGCUCAAAAUCUUUCGUAUAUGAUUUCUCAUCUGUACGCUUAACAUCAUUAGUGUACGCUGAGACAUUAGGUCUUGGCUCAAAAUCUUUUGAAUAAGAUUUCUCAUGUGUGAGCUUAACGUUAACACUCGGUCUAUCCUCAAACUCUCUCACAAAAGCUUUAUGCUCUUUAAACUUGAGAUCAUCACUAUGAGCCAUGGUGCUAGCCCUUUGCUUAAUGUCUUUUGCAAAAGACUCCUCAUAUUUAGGUUUGACAUCGAAGAUUGAUGACUUACCCAAUGCAGUAUGACACCCAUUUCUCUCAUCCUUCACAACACCUUGCCAAUAUUCCCCUCCAUCUUUUCUUGCAUUGAUACCGUAAGCUAUCUGCAUUUCUCAGAAUUAAAAUCCCUAGUUAGAAAAUGAGCCAAGUAGAAUCUCAACUCCAAAUAAAUUGAUCAAAAUAAUGUUAUAUAACACAUAUCAACAAAAACAACUAGCUAGCUCAUAUAAAUUCGCACGUAGAUGAAACUUUCAUGCAUGUGCUAGAGAAACGUUAGUCAUAUAUAUAUGUUAAUGUGUAUUUACGAAAUUUAGUUCUCAUUUUUCACAAUAACUUAAUUUGAUUUUUGUCAGAAAUAGAAAAAAUGUACAUACCAGUGCGAGAGAGAGGAUGCUAGCUAUAACGUAGCUCAUUGCAAUAAUUUGAAUCUAAUCUGAAUCUCACUUUAUGAGUUGAGAAUAGAGAAAAUCUGCUUGCUAUUUAUAGGAAGAAAGUACGAAGACUAUAUAAUAACAAGUUGUGAGAGAAAGAAAGCAAGAAGACUCAAUCAUUGCAUAUGAUAAUAUAAUUAAACUUUGAUACAGAGAAACUAGAUAAAGCAAUUAUUAGAUAUUGGGAGCUGGAGGUCCAUCUUUGUCAUCUAAAUUAUAUAUGCAAAAUAAUAUAGGGUCGGGUUUCUGAUUAUGACAUUGUUUUUCCUUUAAUAUUGUUGUUAUGUCUUGAAUUUUCCGCUUCACACUUCGGGGGUCUCGCUGUAAUCUGGGUGUUUUAUCUCAAUACUAUAUACAAAACCGAUCACCUACCCACCGUGGGCAAACAUAACGUGCCCACCACUGAUGUGGCAAUGUUAAUUAGGAAGGAGAAUUAAUAAAUCUUACUCUAAUUAAAAUUAUCUUACUCUAAUUACAAUUGCCACAUCAGUGAUGGGCACGUUAUGUUUGCCCACGGUGGGUAGGUGAUCGUCUCUGAUAUAUAUUAUUAUUAUUAUUAUUAUUAUUAUUAUUAUUAUUAUUAUUAUUAUUAUUAUUAUUAUUAUUAUUAUUAUUAUUAUUAUUAUUAUUAUUAUUAUUAUUAUUAUUUUCUCCGUCCCAUAAAUUUUGACACGUAUUCAUUUUUGGAUCGUCCCACGAAUCUUGACACAUUUUCUAAAUAAGGUAAUAAUUAAUCCAAAAAUAUUACAUUCUCUCUCCUACUUUUAUCACUUUAUUACAUUCAUUCUCCUAGCUACUUUUUCACUUUUAUACUUUAUUUUCUACGCACUUAAAACAUUAAUCUACAAUUCUUUAAUUUUCGUGUCGUAACCAAACGUAUCAAGAUUCAUGGAACGAAGGGAGUACUAUGUCAAGAUCCGUGUCCACCAAUCAACUUCUCAUUUGGUGGUCGGCACGGAAACUAAAAAAACUGAAAAAUGUGGUGUAAAAGUGGUGUAACAGACUAAAAGGAUAGUGUUAUUUUAUGUGGUUACUUUUACUAAUUUUUCACUAGCUAUUUAACAUUAUUUUCAUGCCUUGACUUAAAGUUUUUUUUUAUAUAUACGCUAUCUCUUUCUUCUUCUUUUUUACUCUUUAAUUAAAUAAACUAAAAACUUAAACAUAAUUAAAAUGAAAACAAGAAAAUAAUUUUUUCAGAAAAUAAAUAAAUUGAAAAUUCGAAAAUAAAUAAAUAAAUAAACAGGAAAUUCGAAAAUAAAUAAAUAAAUAAACUAUAAAUUCAGAAAAUAAAUAAAUAAAUAAACUGGAAAUAAAUUUUUCAGAAAAUAAAUAAACUAAAAAUUAAAAAAUAUAUAAAUAAAUAAACUAAAAAUUCAAAAAUAAAUAAAUAAAUAAACUGAAAAUUCAGAAAAUAAAUAAAUAAAUAAAAUGGAUGUUGGGUCCCCUGAGGGUUGAAAUGACAUGUGUAUGGGGGGGAGGGGAAUACACCUGUAAGCUAUUUUCGAAACAAGGUUACUUAAAACCGACACCUUUGUUCUGAAAGAUAGUUUGAUUGAUUUGAAAAUGCAAGCUUCAGAUGACAAGGGGUGGCGACUGAUACUGAAACCAAGGUUCAGUGGGUGACUUCAGUUAAUUGAUUUGGUCAAUUAACUUCAAUCCAAGUAAGGCUUCAAUCGUAAGUAAAACAGAGUAGAAUUACUUGUUUAACCGACUAUCAAAAGAUUGAUCAGUUAAACUUAUAAUUCUAGCAACGGAAUAUUAAACUUAGUGAAAUACUCCCUCCGUCCACCAAUUAAAGGCCUAGGGGAAAAAACACGGGUUUUAAGAAAAAGUGUAUUUUUAUUAGUUGAGUGGAGAAAGGGUCCCACUUUUUAAGAAAAAAUGUAUUUUUAUUAGUUGAGUGGAGAAAUGGUCCCACUUUUUUGUAAAGAAUCUUUGACUUUUUUGAUUAAAUAAUGAAUAAAAACUUACCAAAAAUAGGUAGGCCUUGUUUUUGUGGACGUCCCAAAAAGGCAAGUAGGCCUUGAACUGGUGGACGGAGGGAGUAGCAUUGAAAGAUUUUCUUCACAGAGAAUCCCUUAGUUACUCUUUUCAGUUAAUCAGUAUUAGAGAAACNAACCCUAAUGUAGCAAAACCUUUUAGUCAUUAGAAAUUUUAACUGUACAGAUAAAAAUAUGAAAAUAAUAGUAUUUCUGACUAAAAUACUCUUUUAAUGUGUAACAGUGUAAAAUACACUAUUACACACUUGUUAGAAGCAAAAAAGUGCGUAACAGUGUAAAAUACACUAUUACACGAUUUUCGCGAUUAUUAUACUACGAUUUUUGAAAAAGUGUGUAAUAAUGUAUUUACACGGUUACACACUUUUUCACAAUUACACAAAAAAGUGUGUAACAAUAUUAAGAGUAUAAUUAUACAUUUACACUAAAAAAGACUAGUUUUUUCAUACUUUUAUUUGGGUGAACAUUUUUUCCUUUUCUUAUACAAAAAGAUAUAAUUGGCCCAUUAACUCUAUCAUUUGAAAAUAUUAAGCCCUUUUAUGGAGUAAAAUUUAUACCUUUCCUGGGCGACAGCCUUAUCUGCGGUCAAGAAAGUAGAUUUCCAGCCACGGCCUAUAGGGGAGGAAGGGUCGUCAUCCUCCCCCAAAACUCGUGUGUAAAUCACGCCGUGCUUCUCCAACUUGUGCACGAAGUCUGAGUGCUUCUCCUUCAUUCUUUCGUAUAUGAUGUGACUCGGGACUAUCGGCGUUUCUCCGCCCGACUCGGGCUCUACUUCGCAGAAGAAGAACAAUUUUGUCGGGUACUUUUGCACCUUGUGAUCCAGAUUAACAAAAUCAAUCAACUAAUCCCAUCCCAUUCAAAUAAUCACUUCUUUUACACAGAUUAAAAAAAUUCUGAUGUUGUUUCUCGAGCGAGGAUGGCGAAAGAAACAUGUUUUCUGAAUACUCUUUGAUAUAGAAAAGAAGUAAACAUAUAUAAUAUGCAAAGUUCGUGAUAUUUAAAAAUUAAAAUUAAAAUUAAGGUCAUGAAUAAAAAAAAAAUCAAUAAUUGGGAUCAUAAACAAGUAUUACACACGAGCAAGAAAAGAGAAGAAUUGAUACCUGAGCCAUUUCAUGGUGAAAAGGGAUCUUCUGAUCAGGCGGGGAUUCGUUAGCAGUGAAAAUACGGCCGACGACGUUAGUUCUGGGGGCGGCGCCGCCGACGUACGGCAGCUCCUCGUACCCGAACGCCUCCACGACGUCGUUGAAGUCUGAAGCGGUAGCUAAGGAAUCAAAACCACGAAACAGAAUAGCGCCGUGUUUGUGCAGAAGCGAGUCCAGCCAUGGCCUCUGCUCCUUCACGCCCGCCGUCAAAGAGGACGCACCGCCCGCCGCUGCCGGAGAUAACACGGCGGGGAAAGUAACUCCGCCAUGGCUUUUUUGAUGUGGGAUCUUGGUUUCAGCGAAGAUGCUAGAGUUCGUAGGCAUUUUGUGAUUUUGUUCUUUGAAUUUUGGAUGAUUAGUUUGGCAAUUAUUGAUUAUAUAUAUAUAUAUAUAUAUAUAUAUAUAUAUAGUAAGGAAGANNNNNNNNNNNNNNNNNNNNNNNNNNNNNNNNNNNNNNNNNNNNNNNNNNNNNNNNNNNNNNNNNNNNNNNNNNNNNNNNNNNNNNNNNNNNNNNNNNNNNNNNNNNNNNNNNNNNNNNNNNNNNNNNNNNNNNNNNNNNNNNNNNNNNNNNNNNNNNNNNNNNNNNNNNNNNNNNNNNNNNNNNNNNNNNNNNNNNNNNNNNNNNNNNNNNNNNNNNNNNNNNNNNNNNNNNNNNNNNNNNNNNNNNNNNNNNNNNNNNNNNNNNNNNNNNNNNNNNNNNNNNNNNNNNNNNNNNNNNNNNNNNNNNNNNNNNNNNNNNNNNNNNNNNNNNNNNNNNNNNNNNNNNNNNNNNNNNNNNNNNNNNNNNNNNNNNNNNNNNNNNNNNNNNNNNNNNNNNNNNNNNNNNNNNNNNNNNNNNNNNNNNNNNNNNNNNNNNNNNNNNNNNNNNNNNNNNNNNNNNNNNNNNNNNNNNNNNNNNNNNNNNNNNNNNNNNNNNNNNNNNNNNNNNNNNNNNNNNNNNNNNNNNNNNNNNNNNNNNNNNNNNNNNNNNNNNNNNNNNNNNNNNNNNNNNNNNNNNNNNNNNNNNNNNNNNNNNNNNNNNNNNNNNNNNNNNNNNNNNNNNNNNNNNNNNNNNNNNNNNNNNNNNNNNNNNNNNNNNNNNNNNNNNNNNNNNNNNNNNNNNNNNNNNNNNNNNNNNNNNNNNNNNNNNNNNNNNNNNNNNNNNNNNNNNNNNNNNNNNNNNNNNNNNNNNNNNNNNNNNNNNNNNNNNNNNNNNNNNNNNNNNNNNNNNNNNNNNNNNNNNNNNNNNNNNNNNNNNNNNNNNNNNNNNNNNNNNNNNNNNNNNNNNNNNNNNNNNNNNNNNNNNNNNNNNNNNNNNNNNNNNNNNNNNNNNNNNNNNNNNNNNNNNNNNNNNNNNNNNNNNNNNNNNNNNNNNNNNNNNNNNNNNNNNNNNNNNNNNNNNNNNNNNNNNNNNNNNNNNNNNNNNNNNNNNNNNNNNNNNNNNNNNNNNNNNNNNNNNNNNNNNNNNNNNNNNNNNNNNNNNNNNNNNNNNNNNNCCGCUACGUUUGCUUCAAGCAUUUGUGCAAUCGUAAGGAAACUCAGUGGGAUCGAACAACUAACGUCGUUCAUGCCGAUGACCAAGUGUGGCAAGAACUCUUCAAGGUUAGAAAACGCAUAAUACUCUUUCUAUUAAACCUUGUUGCAAAUAUCAAUAAAUCAAUCAAAUAACAUUAUUCCAUUAUUUGCUAUCAUCAUAGGAAAAUGCAUUCUUCCGAGCCUAUUAUCAUAACGGUGAUCCGGAGUACCUACAGAUGUGCAACUUGUUUGGCCUCUACGACGUAAAAAAAGAGUUGUCUCAUACGGUAAUCGUUAUUGAAGACUCGUCAACUGUGAAGAAGCCAUCCCACCAUACUAUCAACGGCGAAUACUGGAGUGAAGAUGAGGUAACAUCUCCUAUCUUAAAACCAAAACCAGUGGCCAAACCAGUGGCCGCUAGGAACAUCUUCCCAGACGAUGCUUGUUCAAGCGCGACAGCUUCUUUCCACAAUAAGCUCCCAUGGAAUGCAUUCAAAAAUAAGCUCCGUCGGCCAACGAAAACGAAAGAUGACCAGAAUCGCGAUGGCGGUUAUGGUGGAAGUUCGUGCGCGUCGUCCUCUCCUUUCAAAUAGAGUUAUUUUGCCGCUAUCUCUUCCAUUGUUUUGCCGUCCUGCUCUUAUAUUUCACCUUCAUGUUUGAUUAUUAUGUUUUGACCUUAUUUUUGGCGUCUCCAUGAGCUAAUAGGUUUUUAUGUUUUCUAUUGAAGUACCCUACUGUUUUCCCUCUAAUAAUUGGUUGGACUCAUGUUUUUUUACAUGUUAUGUGCACUCAAUAAUUGGUCGAACUAUAAAUUAGAUACAAAUGAAAAUCAACCAAUGAAAUAAUGACAUAUAUGGAUAAUAAAUUUUCUGCAAUCUACUGAGCAUGCAAAUAAAAUUUCUGCAAAAUAAACACAUUAUCAUUCAAAACUCCAUAAAACGAAUUACAAAAUAGCAUUUGAAUCUCCAUGAAACAAAGUAUGAAAUAACUUUCAAAUCUCCAUGAAACAAGGUACAAAAUAACAUGAUCGGUCUCCAUGAAACAAAGUACCAACAACGGCAUAAGCUUAAAGGGCCAACUAGUACCCAACAUAAACCUAAACAAUCUUGCAACAAGUUCCAAAAUAUUCUUUGAACAUGAUAUGAGAAACUGUCAGAUUUCAAAAUGCAAAAGAAGAGCACCAAAACAUUCCUUGCACGAAGGUGACUUACUUAUGCUUCAAAGCAAGCAAGUAGUGCACGUAGUCUUCCUUCGCGUCAUCCGGGAGGCUUGAGAACACAUCCAGACGCUCGACCUCCUUUGCAAGCAAAUCUGUCAACUCAAACUUUUCCAUCUUUGACAGCCCCGGAAUAGCAGACAAUUGAGCGAAGACUUCUUUUCUUGCCUUUGAUAUAUCGUAGUCGUAACCCAUUUUACUUGAUAUUGUAUCAAGUCUAGUUUCGGUCCCCCGGUUAAUUUCAUGUAGGGCCUCGAAGAAUCUGUCGUCAAAGGUGGCACUGCGGCGCCGCUUCUUGCCGCAACCCCGCACUUCCUUCUCAGCCGUAACACUCUCUUCAUGAACUUGGGUGUGGCUUACAUUGUCACCCGCUUCGCCAUUCUCGAAGAGAUCUUCAAGUGAGACGCGGUAAUCAUCAUCGGCGUUCGGUUGGCUAGUAUCCAAUUUUCGAUACAUCUCAUGGGACGCCUCCAUGAGAUCCUCCGCCUCAUCGCCCGUAGCUCUAUCUUUGCCGUAAUAUUAUCUUCCAAUCCUCAAGUAGAGGUCCAACUUUUCUUGCGAUAGUUGCUCACGCUAUUAUCGACUACAUUACAUUUAAAGCUUAACAAAACAUGUAAAACCAGGCUGCAAUAAGCAAUGUAAAUGGACUUACCCUCACAAAGUUCUCCCAUUGUUCAUCAUCGCAAUCAAUCAUGUGCUUUCCAUCCACAUUGAAACCAACUCCACUGGUCUUGAGGAUGUUCCACAAUGAAUAGUAAGUCUUUUUCCACGUUGUUACCUUCGAGUUUAUGUGAGGCAUCCCUUUCAAAUCGGUGGUCGGAAAGUCCUUCCUCAUAGCCUCCUCUAACUUGCUCAAAUAACCGGCUCGAAAUCCGUUGUCGGAUUUCCAUCCUUGCGCAACGAGCUCCUUCAAUGCAGCGAUUAGCACUUCUUCUUCGCGUGUAGACCAACUGCGGCGCUUCUGGGUCGUCUUGUUAACACGGCCAGAAAGCGUUGUUCCAUUGCUACCUGAACAACCAUAAAAAGAAAAACACCAGCAAUGUGUUUCAUGUGUUGCUGUAUACUUAUUCCAGACCACCAGCUUUGUAUUUCAUAUUAUUUAACAUCCGUUUAUGGCAUUUCAUAUUAUUAAAAAUCCCGACCAACACGUUUUAUACCAGUCCAAAAUACGAUCAUAUACUCUAGCAAAAUAAUUAUGUUUUGCGGUCGGCGCUAGCAAGUAGCAAGUAUCUAAAUAUCACAGCCACUAAAACGGAUAGACGAAUAUUAGCAAAACCAAGAGCAGAACAUGAUAUAAACACAGAUCGCAUAAAGACUAAAAAAUAUAUUUUCAUCAAGACGAAGACUCAUAUACGACGUGAAUAUUGUUAAAAAACCAUUGGAUAUAGUUCUAAGGAGUCGCGACAUGGGAGAAGAAUGACCUACCUUGAGUUGCAGAACUCAUUAUCGGCAAGUUCAGAUUGCUUUCUUGCCCUUUCUAUGGAGAGAGACCUUUCACCUUCUGCGCAGAAGAGUUCUUGGCGGGUGAAGAAUGUUUUCGGAGAAUAGGGAUUAGUGGGUGUAAUGGUGUAAAGCAGAGGACAAGGUUGGAAUUUCGAAAAUUAGAAGGGGACAUUUUUGUCCAUUAUUAACUUUAUCUGACCUAGUACUAUGAAUACCAAACAGAAUUCAUGAUUAGUUAAAUGUAAAAGCAAACAUCCAAUUAAUAUUAAUAACACAGUGUAAUCCACACUAAUUAUCUAGUUUAAUAUUAUACUAGCUAAUCCAUUACAUAAAACCAAACGAGCCCUAAACAUUUGAUCUCAAUACGUAAAUAAAACAUAAAUCAGCAAGCUCCGACUUUAUUUUUGUUGGCCUUGUUUGUUGUGGUGUUUAACGCUGUAUUAGCAUAUUAAUAUGCUGAGAAACGAUCAUUUGGUGCCUUAUUAACACAGACGGCCCAGCAUUAUGCAAGGGCCCGGGCCUCUUUAAAUAGAUAAAUCUCGUUUAGGAAUAUGCCACCCCCUUUGAUACGCAAACCAUCAUAAUUAUCUUGGAUUCAAAUCUCAUUUUUGCCCUUAAAUUCAAAUAUUAUCAGCCUUAUGUGUUGAUUAUUUCUACUCAUUAUUCUCUACAAAAAAACGUUGUUGUUCUCGCCGACCGACAAAGAAUUAUGCGGAAAUUUUGCUGUGCAAUACCAAGAAUAAUUUUGACUACGAAAUCGACAACACGGUAUGUGCGGUUAAUCGUUUUUGCCUAUCGAACCUGAUUUUGAUUUUUAUUUGAGAAUGUUAGAGCAGUAGAAACGAUUGAAUCUGUUAGGUCUUUUUUCGAAAAAAAGUGUAUGUCAUCUUUAUUAAAAUCUUAAGUUCUAAAGAGUUAUAAUCCACCUUAAUCAAGUGUUUGGUUUGCAUGAUGGAGCCCGUGAUUAAUAACUCGGCCUGCAUCUAAUCACCCAAAUGAGUGAUUGUUUAUCAUCCCAAAGUUGGAUGGAUAUUAUUUAAUCACCCCCUCCAAUCCUAUCACUCUUAUCAAUCUUAUCUAUCCUAUCCAACAAACCAAACGCCUCCAAGUAGUAUAUUUUUAUCAUGUCAUCUUAUAUCUAUGACAUUUUAGAUACUACUCGUAUAUAUGAUUAGUGAAACCAAAGCUUUUACAAGCAAAAAGAACAAAGCUACAUAUAUUAAUGACUUAUAUGUUUAAUAAAAAUUUCUGGCAAAUAUUAACUUGUGUGUACAUGCAAUGUACGAUGCAUUCAUCCUACUUAAAUUAAUUAACUAUACAAAUUAAUUAUUAUUUUUUAUAUUUACAGCAAGAGUCUCCAGUAUUUGGAUGUCCCCAAAUUAACGACCACUAAAAAUAAGGUUAUAUAUAGUUCACUAGAAAGCAACAACGUGAUAGAAUCUAGAGUAAUCGAUGUAUCAUAUUCAUAUAUAUGUGUUGAUGAAGAUUUAUCUAUCAAAAUAAGAAACUAAGGUUUUAUAUGAAAUGAUUAACCUAGGCAACACGUAUGAUGCCCAUAUAUUCAUUUAUAUAAGUGCAGCAUGAGUCACGUUAAGAUUGUAAUUGCCACUGUGUGAUGAUAUGGUGUUCCUCUAUAUAUAGAAAUCGAUCACCUACCCACCGUGGGCAAACAUAAUGUGCCAACCACUGAUGUGGCAAUUUUAAUUUGGAAAGAGUAUUAACGACCACCUCAUGGAAAAAUAUAUUCUAGCUAGCUUUUGAAACGAGCUUGUUCUGCUAGAGUUUUUCACUUUCUAGUAUAUUUUUUCUUUCUUUUGAAUUUUGAGAGUUUUUUUUUUUUUGGUUGUUGUUGUUGGUUGGAGAUUUAAGGAUUUGGAUUAGUAGGUCACCUUAUAAAGAAAAAGAAUAUCAUUAAGCUACAAUUUGGAUUAAUUGUCAACUCCAUCUUUAUCAUGAAUCAUAUGGGUUCUUUUCUUUCCUUUAACAUAAUUAAUUAACGAUAGCUUAAAGUUUUGGAUUAAUUGACAACUGCAUCUUUAUCAUGAAUCAUAUGAAUUAUUUUCCCUCCUUAAACAUAAUAAUUCACGAUAUGUGAUGACAUUAAUAUAAUUCACACCUCACUCCCCUGCCGGCACCACUAAUAUUCACAAAAACAUCCAGACAAGUCUCUAUUUGUUCUUCCGCAUAUAUUCUAAAAUAUGCAUGAAUAAUUAAAUUAAUAAUUUCAAAAAGUCAUACUAGGUUUUUUAUGUACUUAGACAUAGUUAAUCUUUUAAACAACAUAUGAAUUAUGUAUUAAUUUAGGCUAAGACUAAAUAUGAUAUUUAGCCAAAUUAUAAAUUCUGGAAUCAACCAAUUAUAAGGUCAUAUAUAAAUAUUAUUAUAUUUAACUAACUUCAUUUAAGACUACCUAUAAUUAUACUCCCUCCGUCCCAGCUUUUUGUAUCCACUUUUAGUAGGGAUACAAAAAGCUGGGACAGAGGGAGUAUAUUUUAGAGAAUAUAUAUAUAUAUAUAUAUAUAUAUAUAUAUAUAGGGUAGGGUUAAUAUAAAAACCCCCUCUUAAGAUGAAAACUAGGAACCAAUUUAAAACCAUUGAUUUAAAUAAAAUAGAGGGCUGAGAUUAAACUACAGAUGCACAAUUUCGAUUGCAUAGAUGCACAGUUUCAAUUGCAUGGAUGCACAAUUUCGAUUUGCUUGAGUAUUUUGCAUUGUUGGUUUCAAUUGCAUAAAUUGCAUAUUUUUAAUUGCACAGUAAAAUAUAAUAGAUGCACAGUUUCUUUUGUUGACUAAAUCCUAACCAUUAGAUCUAAUAUUUAAAAGGUUAAGAUUAGCUUCCUAGUUCUCAUUUUAACAAAGGUUUUAUUAGAACAUCUUCCUAUAUAUAUAUAUACAUAGAAAUAAAUAAUAAAUAAGACAUACAUAUAUACAAUAACGAAUUAAAAAUAUUUAUAAAAUUAUUNGUAUAAUUUAGUAUUUUUUUACGUAAAAAAAUAAAAUAAUAUAAUAUAUAUAUAUAUAGGGUAGGGUUAAUAUAAAAACCUACUACUUAAGAUGAAAACUAGGAACCAAUUUAAAACCAUUGAUUUAAAUAAAAUAGAGGGCUGUGAUUAAACUACAGAUGCACAAUUUCGAUUGCAUAGAUGCACAGUUUCAAUUGCAUAGAUGCACAAUUUCGAUUUGCUUGAGUAUUUUGCAUUGUUGGUUUCAAUUGCAUAAAUUGCAUAUUUUUAAUUGCACAGUAAAAUAUAAUAGAUGCACAGUUUCUUUUGUUGACUAAAUCCUAACCAUUGGAUCUAAUAUUUAAAAGGUCAAGAUUAAGUUCCUAGUUCUCAUUUUAACAGAGGUUUUUAUUAGAACCUCUUCCUAUAUAUAUAUAUAUAUAUAUAUAUAUAUAUUAAUUUAAUAGUAGUGUUAAUUGUUUUUAUAAAUUUAUUUAUCUUUAAAUUCAUAAUAAAAAGUAAUAUUAAUACUCCCCUAAUAAAAUUCAAAUAAUUGUAAUGCCACAUAAAUUAACCACACAAAAGUUUUCCCAAUUAAUAAAGAUGAAAAAAAUAGCUUGGUUGAAACUUAUAAAAUGAGAGAGAGAGAGAGAGUAAUAUAUAUCAAAUUAAAGUUUGUGUCAUGAUCUUUAAUUGGAUAUACAAAGGGAUUCACCAUAAUAAAAAAUUGUAUUAUGAAAAGGUAAAACAAAUGUUAAAAAAUAAAAAUAAAAAUAAAAUAAAAAAGAAUUAAAAAUAAAUUUAUUCAAAAAAAGAUGAGAGUUGAGAGAUUUUUUUUAAUUUAAAAAUAAAUAAAUUAAAAGUUUUACAUUUUAAAUCAAAUAUUUACAUAAAAAUAUAUCAAAUUAAAGCUUUUAUCGUGAUCUUUUAAUGUGAUAUGCAUAUUAAAUAUUUUAUAAUUAGUCGAAUUUCACUAUUUUAGAAAGAAAUAAAGUAAAAAAAAAGAUAAAUAAAAAGAAAAUAAAAAAGGAAAUAUGUAAUUUAUAAAUAAACCUUUAAUUUUAUUAUAACUACAAAAUUAUUACUUAAUUUUGAAAUCAAUUUAAAAUUGAUGACAAAUUGAAAUCUUAAAUUUGUAAUAAUAGAUAUACAGUGAUUUUGACAAAGCGUAAAAAUUAAAAUAGAUAAUUAGAGGAAAAAUUCUAAUCAACGUCCCACGGCCACGUCCAAUAUAAUAAUAUUUUAUUAUUAAAAAUCAAAUUAAAAAUUCGAGUAUCAACAUCCAUUCCUCGGUACAGCAUGGUGAAUUACACAGGUCGCAUUCAUUAUAUCAGAUCAAUUCACCACAGUUAAAUUUGCAUACGGCUUUCAUCAAAUUAAUUAACUUCCGAUUGAUUUUUCUUUCUAUCACACUGAGUGGUGGGGAUGGGGACACUAUUUGAAAAUGGGGCGUUAACCAUAAAAAAAUCAAUCAUUAAAAAUGAUAAAUCGGUCAUUAGCUAGAAAAUCUAACGAUUGAAUUAACGAUCAAUUUGAAGCAAAUGGAUCUCAUAGCUCUCAUAGUACUCUCUCUUUCUUCUCUCACUUUCAAUUUGAUAGCCUUGAGGUUUAAGGAAAGAGAAGAAUCCAUGUGAUUCAUGAUAAAGAUGAAGUUGUCAAUUAAUUCAAAACUUUAAGCUAUCGUUAAUUAAUUAUGUUAAAAGGAAAGAAAAGAACCCAUAUGAUUCAUGAUAAAGAUGGAGUUGAUAGACAAUUAAUCCAAACUUUGUAGCUAAUUAAUGAUAUUCUUUUACUUCAUAAGGUGACCUACUAAUCCAAAUUCUUAAAUCUCCAACCAACCAACCUAAAAAACUCAAAAUUCAGAAGAAAAAAAAAACUCUAGCAGAAUGAGCUCGUUUCAAAAGCUAGCUACAAUAUAUACUUUUCCAUUGCUUGUCACGUUAUUUUCCCAAUAAUGAGAUAAAAAUUCUUUCGGCUAUCUAUCUUCCUACAACAAAAAUCGAGUUAUUAUUUAAACAAAUAAUUAAAAAUUGUAUCCAAUAUCAUAAUUCGCUCAUCAAAUAUGUGAAUAUAUAUUUUGGCAAUUAAUCCCAAAGAUUAUUUGCUAUUGCAUGCUUGGUCUCUCUCCCUCUUUUUUUUUUUCCUUUUUUUUUUUCACUUGUUAGCUGUUAUCUGUAAAUUAACAGGAUCAAAUCAGAACUUAGAGAAAAAGUUCACAUAUAAUAUAUUAAUAUGCAGUGUAUUUUAGUAUUUUCGAUGAUACUUUAAUUACUUAUACAAAAUCUUAAUUAUUGUUUUGGGUAUAUAUGGAGGAACACGAUAUCAUCACACAGUGGCAAUUACAAUCUUAACGUGACUCAUUCUGCACUUAUAUAAAUGAAUAUAUGGGCCCUUUGAUUGCGUCCUGCUUUCUUGGGUUUUUUAAGGUUUUUUGUUUUGCAAUAAAAUCGUAUUUUAAUAAAUGAAUAUAUGGGCAUCAUACGUGUUGCCUUGGUUAAUCAUUUCAUAUUAUAAAACCUUAGUUUUUUGUUUUGAUAGAUAAAUCUUCAUCAACAUGUAUAUGAUACAUCCAUUACUCGAGAUUCUAUCACGUUGUUGCUAUCUAGUGAACUAUAACCUCAUUUUUAGUGGUCGUUUGGGGACAUCCAAAUACUGGAGACUCUCUCUGUAAAUAUUGCACGUACUCACAAGUUAAUAUUUGCCAUAAAUUUUUGUUAAACAUAUGACUAUGAGUCAAUUAAGAUGGGUGACCAACUGGAAAGUUCGUCUAACGUAUACAAUUAAGUUAAAAAUAUAGUAUAAAUACAGAAAUACUUGUGAGCUAGGUAUAAAUAAAUAAAAUACCGCCGGCAACCACCGGCGGUGACGUCUGACAAUAGCGCCACCGCCGUCCGAUCAACAUUACCAGCAGCGAUGCUCCCGCUACUAAUCACCAACGGCGGAGGCGCCGGUAAAACUCCGGUAAAAGAUCACCGCUCACCGACGAUCUUUAGCGGCAGCGGCGCCGUUAAUUACCAGCGGCCGUCUUUUACCGCCGGUACUAUUGAAGUCAUCGACGAGCGAAAUACCGGUGGCGAGAGGCCGUUGGCAACCAUUUUUCCGGCGGUAUAUGUAUGAUUACCGGCGGCAUUGAGCGUGUUUUUUGUAGUGCUCGUAGUAUCUAAAAUGUCUUUGAUGCAUCAUAACAUGAUAAAAAUAUACUUAUAUUGCCGUCGGUAAUCAGCGUAUUUUUUGUAGUGCUCUUAGUAUCUAAAAUGUCUUUGAUGUAUCGUAACAUGAUAAAAAUAUACUUAAUAUUAGUUUAUAUUAUAACGCUCUAGAACAUAAGAUUUUAAUAAGUCGAUCGGAUCGUGAGUGUUAUUAAUACAUGCAUCAAAGCUUUCUCAGCUUCAUUCAUUCUCUCUCUUCUUGUGGUAAGUAAUUAAUUAAUAAUGUUUCUCUCUCUAGCCCACCUCUCUAAUUUCAUAAUAUUUUCUUCAAUAAUUGUUAACAAAACUUUCAUGUGUUGUUUCAGUAUGGCUAUUUUUGUGAUGCACGAAAAGAUCUAGGAGAGCUGUAGAAGGCUGUAAUGGAUGAAGAAACUAUGCCUGACACAAUAAAAAAUCCUAGCUUACGUUCUAUUUUUGCACAUGAUCCAACCAUCAACUAUAUUACAAUCCUUUAAGAGGUGAAGAGAGGUGUCUAAUAGAUCAAGAAAGGGACCUAUAUAUAAGCAUAUGGAAUAAAUAUAGUACAAAAUUCAAAAAUACUGAUAAAAUUCGAAAAUUCUUGUCGGCCACUAUUCACUAUUGCGUGUGAUUUUCUUGUUUCGGCCAUAUCUCCGUCGUACGAACUCCGAUUGGCGAUCCGUUUACGCUCAUGAACUCGUAUUGAGAUGAUCUACAACUUCUAUUUCAGACCAUUCUUCCAAAUUCGGCUUCAAUAUUUCUAAAAUUUCCAUCAAAGUUCGAGUAAGUAUCAUAUUUCUCAAGAUAUAUAAAACAAUAUAAACACGAAACAACUAUCCAACACUCAAUUUCUUAUAAAAUUGACAUCGUAUGAACAUUAAAAUGCAUAGAAACAUGAGUGUUAUCAAACCUUAAUUAUUUAAAGUUUAUAAAAUUCACAAUUUAUACUUUGUCUUUCAAUUAAUAUAGUCAAAUGUAGAAUAAAUAAUGCCAGAAUUGAACAAUUGUAUAUAAUUUAUAUUUUCCAAAUAAAAAUAAUCACAUUUUCUAAAUGUGUAAUAAAGGGGACAAUCAAGGUGGGACGGAUGGGAUAGAUCCAGUGCCCCACAAUUUUAUAUGUGUCACUAUGUCAUGCUUAUAUCUAUUAUUUUAAUAAUAUUUUUUAUAAAAAUAAAAUUUAUUACUAUAAUACUAUGAAUUAUAUUUAAUUCUUAAUUAUUUUAAAAAAUUAUUUUUUUUAAAAAGUAUAUACCAUGAUUUUGAAUUUAUCAACCUAUUAGCAGCUAAUAAAAGUGAAAAUAAAUGAUAAAAAAUAAAUAUAUACCCUAGAUUGAUGGUAUAAACCCUAGUUAAUAAUCCCAAAAUUAAACUAAAGCAUUCAAUAUCGAAAUUAAAGAAAAAAUAAAUAAAAUUAAAAGUUGGACACAAAAUGGGACAUCAAAUAUGGUACAGUGAAUCACAUUUGGGGUGGGAGGGAGUAAUACUCAUAGGCUUAUUCGUUGCCAUUCUGCUUGGGCUCGAAGGCUUGUGCAUCAUCAGUUGUGUACAAUUUAGCAAAUCAGAAACAAAUACUAGGAUUUCAUAAUUUGGGUUGAUAUUCUUUGAGAAACAAAUAGUUUUCGUCAAAGUAAAGCAUCUCAUGUUGGCUCAAAUGAAUCCACGCCUCAAUCCCAUGUCCCUCUUUGUCGCUCAUGAGCAACACAAAGUUGUUACCCGACGGCCCAUUAAUGUGAAUGCGCGUCCAAAGAGGCGUCCCCCAUCCGAAAUCACAGUCGUGAAAUUGAAACCCACUACAAUCAGUGAAAUUUAUAAUAUUGGUUUCAGGUUGGCUCACAUGUUGUAUCAAUCUUUCCAUAGUAUCUGUGUAGAUAUGGCGUCCAUCCACAUCAGGAGACAGAAUCUCGGCAUGACGAGUUAUGGCAUUUCGAACAGACUCUCCCAUUAGAAGAACAAGUUGAUCAACACCAACGUCAGCGCCGGCUUGUAUGCAUCUCGUCAUUGCUGGCACCGCGAAAUUCCCACAAGCGUGUCUGGACUGAGGUGGGAUUGAUCUCUCCCGCAUGUCCACCGCUUGCAAUAUGACGGACCUUCUGCUUCUGCCGUGGAUGGCGCCAUCCACCCGGAUUAGGGCUUUGGCUAUGACGGCACACACAACACGCACUCCAGAUAAGGCUUUUCCAUCGGUAUGUCUUAUUCUUAAUUUUAGGCUCCUUAAAGUCUCCUUGUUGAACAAAACCCUCUUCAAAGCAACGUUGUGAUCCGCGCCCACACGCUGUUCCCCAAAAUCAGGGGCCUGCUUGCUCACGGACGGAAGCAACGAGGAGAGAUGGAAAGUCGGGUUUACCUUCUUAUCAUGAUACGGAUUGGCGGCGUCCGACCAGGCGACCACGAACGUCCACAGCGACGACCCGUCCAAGACCUUGUGGGAACGCUGAUGGCGAUCGCGGCCCCGCCACACGAGAAACGUGUGAUCUGGAUCGAGAGGAGUGGAUUUUCAGGAGCUUCGUCGCGUCGGAAAUGUUGGUCUGGGAGGAGGUCGCGGAGCUCAUGGAUCUCCAUUUCUGGGCCGAGGUCCAUCAGCUCGACGUCUAGAGCCUCUGCUUCCACGAGCUCCGCUCCCUCAUCGCUGCAAUCAAUCCAACUAUCCUUCUUCAUAAAUCUUCCUGCAAGAGGAUAGAAUUCAACCAGGAUUCUGGCCAGUGAUGCUUCCAAGAUAUGGCUGCCGGCAUCUUCUGCUAUCGAUUCGUAAAACAGAACAACAGCGUUAUUAAUUGGGCGAACAAGCUCAUCUAUAAACGACAACUUGUAAUUCUUGAGGUUUUGAGGGGUUGGGGUGUGUGGUUUUACCAACUUGCUGCUGAUUUUAUUCAUCUUCAUUUUUUUUUUAAUUGAUAGUACUGGAGUGAAUACUUGAUACACACAAAACUAGUGCUCUAUAUAUAAGCAAAAGUUGAAUUAUUAAUUAAUAAAAGUUACAAUAAAUGAUACUUUCUCGGUCCCACUAAUUAAAAGUGACCAGUAUUUCAUUAAAAAGAUGUAGGCAAAUUUAACCCUUAAAAAGAUGUAGGCAUUGUCACUUCUAACUAAUUUACAUUUUUUUCUUAAUUCUCGUGUCGAAAAGUUUUGAGCUACUUAUAAUGGGACGGAGGGAGUAAAAAAAAUUAUACUCCUAACUAGGGCUGACAAAUCAUGCGUAUCAGAUCGUUAUCGAAUCGACACGACAUGAUAAGGACAAACAUGACCACGAUCCAGGCCAAUGACCUCUUGCUUGUAAGAGAGAGAGUUUAAAUAUGAUCUUGCAAUAGAAUUUUAGAUAUAGAUUCUGAGCAUUUGUCAAAUUUCUGUGAACAUGACUAAUAUCAAAAUAGUCAGCAAAAAAUUGAUAAAACCGUGCAUCCCCAGCUCCUCUAAAAUCUCACGAUCUACAAAUUAUAUCAUUUCUAGAUAAGAUUAACAUUACUGAUUUUGCUAGUGGUGAGAGCGAAGUAAAUUAGUGAAGGAAAUCGUAAUUGUAGAGCUGGUGGGUACAACUACCCUUCACCAUUAUUCAAUAAAUAUUAAAUAAUUUGUCCCUACACCAAAAGUGUUGGCACACAUCUUUUAAUAAAAUAAACAAUAUUAUAUAAAAUAAAGGAAUGACAAAGCAAAAUUAAUUUAUUAAGUAAUUAUUAAAUGAUAUGAAUAUGAUUUUUCCUAAAAAAAUAUUGAGUGCGAAUGAGAAUGAAAAUAUAAGAAUGUGUACAAAAAUGUAAAUGCCACUAGGGCUGGUAAACCGGUCGGUUCGAUUAAAAUCGAACCGGUUUACCGGUUAAUCGGAACCGAAUUAGACCCUGUGGAGUAACCGAAAACCGAACCGGUUUAUGGUCCGGUUAACCGAAUAACCGGUCCGAUUUGAUCGGUUAAUUCGGUGAUUUCGAUUUCGGCCAGGAUUAACCGGUUAAUCGGUUAACUGAAUUAAUCCCAAAAAAUUCAAAAUUAAUGAAUUUGUAGGAAGUGGGGUUCGAAUCUUGGCCUUUCAAAGAAAGGAUGAGGUCCUAUCCACUCCACCAACUAAUAUUUUAUGCUUAUUAAGAACACAAAAAUAUUUUAUAAAGACUUAUAAGGUUAUAUUAAAAAAAAAAGAACAAUUUUAAUUCUAAUAAAUACAUUCCCAACCUAAGCAACAAUUUAACCACAAAUCAAUGCUAUAAAAUACUGAACUGGAGUGGACACAAAAUGCAGUGAAACAGAGGUGGCAAAAAGUCAUUUUUAUAGUUUUAUAUUUUCUUUCGUUUGAAGGAUGGUAAUCCAAUCUCGCUUACGAGAAUUAAAGGAAUAAAGUGGUGACUAUAUUCUGUUACACAAUAAAGCUCAACUCAACAAUGAGCCAAUGAGAGGCAUUUUCUGUUACAAAUAUAUAAAGAAAAUUGUUGUCGAAAUUCAAGACACAUGAUGACUAUAUUCUUUAUUUCAACUGGACUAUUUGCACAUGCAAGCAUAAAUCCAUGCAAUGCUUUUGGACAGAGUCACAUAAUUUUGAGAUUUAUCAUAACACUAAUACACAAUAGCAUCAACCUUCGAGCAACUCCUUUUCAUUUCAUCUCAUAUAUUAAGUAUUGCAAUUUUUUUCCCUAUUGUCGCACACAACACAACCGCAUAUUAAACUGUAUAACUACAAAGUAAAGAUUCAUAUUAGCAGCGGAAUGCUGAAUUUCUGCACUGCAGUUGAGACACACUAGCAUACGAAAUUGAAUAGAUUUACAUAAUGGUCAAAGUUAGCAGGAGCAACAUUUAUUUUACCUUUUGAAGGCACUCUCGAAACGGCCAAACUGGUAUUUGUCUAUGGCAAAUUGGACAGCCGGGAUGGUGAAGGAGGCUAUGGCAGCCGGGAUGGCGGGCGGAAGUUGACGAUGGCAAAUGCAGCGGCGGAUGGGAGAAAGGGGCUGGGAGAGCGGUUGCGUCCUGCCGCCUAUAGGCUGAGCAGGGGGGAGCGGUGCCGGUGCCGGUGGGAAGACACGCCAGUGCUGGUGGGAAGAUGCGCCGGACGUCGGAAAAAGAAGGGAGGCACCGCAAAACGUGAAGUGCAGAACAGCAGAAGGGGACUGGGAGAGCGGCUGCGUCCUGCCGCCUGCAGGCUGAGCACGGGGAGNGGGGAGGGGGAAAGAGCGGCGUCGGUGCUGGUGAGAAGACACGCCGGUCGGACGUCGGAAGAAGAAGUGAGGCGCCGCCCGCAAAGCCUGAAGUGCAGAACAGGCGUGAAUUGAGAAGAGAAGUGAGACGCGAGAACCCUGACUAAUUUGAUAUAAAAUAAAAUAUAAAACAAUUAAUUUAAUAAUUUAAGUAAAUCGGUUAAUCGGUUUUACCGGUUAAAUCGAUUAACCGGUUAACAGAGAUAUAACUAACCGAUAACCGAACCAAACCGAAAAAACUGAUUUUUUCGGUUCGGUUACAGUUUUAACCGAAAAACCGACACCGAAUUACCAGCCCUAAAUGCCACACUUAUUAUAAACAAAUCAAUAUUGCAAAAAUACUAUAAUUCACGUGGACGAGGGGACGUUUAGAUCGGAGCACACACAAACCGAAAGGAAAAACUCACACAAAAAAGACUAAACAAAUUACUAGCUGAUGAGGGAUGAAAUAUGUACUGCCCUGAGAUCUCGACAUGUGGCUUACUCGGACAAAUUAGAGAAUCAGAGAAGACAGAAAGUAUGCCAGAGACGGAGCUUGGGACCAAACCCCAAAGACAGAGCUCGGGACCAAACCCCAGAGACAGAGUUCAGGACCAAACCCCAGAGACGAAGCUCAAGACCAGACUCUAGAGACAAAGCCCCGAGGCCAGACUCCAGAGACAGAGCCCGAGGCCCGCAACAAGAGAGAGAAACCAGGACCAUAUUCCAAAGAUGAAGCUCCAGACCAGAUUUCCACGGUUUUGCACUAAAUGACAGAGAUCCCGACGAUGAUCUUACACCUUUAUUGUACCGUAUCCAUCUAGGUCUAAGUAGUUAGUGCGCGGAGCGCGUGAAAUAUUGUAAAAGUACUAUGAUACCCCUCCUUGUAACAACUAUAAAUAGCCUUCUUCCAUAAUGAAAAACACAUGAUAUUCACCACCCAAAACACUAUAAGGCUUUUUAUCUUGUGUUCAUGGAAACUCAGGUGAACCAAAAGAAAUCUCUCACCGUUGAAAUACUUUAGUUUAAUUCUUUACUCAUCAACUGGCGCCGUUUGUGGGAAAAAAGUCUAAGACGUGAGGAAUUAUCGAGCGAUUCUGCUUUUUCGGAGUACUCACCGAAGUUCUCUAUCUUCGAGGGGGUAUUCUGGAUCGAAAGACAUAAAACAUCGACCAAAAUGUCCAAAAAUUAAGCAAUUUAUGUUACCAUUGAAAGGCUGAAUCAGUUGUGGGGUGGAAGUUUACCAGCGUUAUGUUUUAGCUUCGUUUUUACUCUAAAUUUUUGUGUUCUCGUCUUGGAAGCCAUGUUACAUGUGUACUUUUAUAUGAUUAUGAAAUAUGUGCAUUGAUUUGAAAGUUGUAAUCGUUUUAUGAACGUGUGGGCGUCGAUCUGGAGGUCAUCAGUGUGUAUGAAAUGGUAUAUAUAGGUUGAAAAACCUUCCUCGUGCCAAAUGAUCACUCUAUGAUCUAGGUCUGGAAUGAUACAACGCCAUGUACCUUUGCGUGUAUGUGUGGAUCUAAGAAUCUGGAGUAAGUUGAAAUCCGUGUGUUUCUGUGCUUAUAAGUAUUGUUCACCUUCUCGCAGUAGAAAACUUCGAUUGCGUAUUUUUCUGUGCAAAAUUUGGUUAAGCUUUCCAAAACUGAUUUGCUAUCUGUGAAUGUUGAAAUUUUGGUUAAGUUAAUUUCCAUCUCGUGUUCUGCAAAGUUAGUUGCGUGUCUUUUGAUACGAUAUCUGUGAAAUCAUAGAGAUCAUUAUAACGAUUAUACUCACAGUCUGAUGGAAACUCAGAAAAUGGAGGACACCACUAUUCCUCAGAAUCUUGAUAGGUAAUUCAAGAAGGAAGCCAAUAACGUCAAUCUCCAUCAGACGGGAAACGAUAAAGUAACCCAUUCUGUUGGAUUAACACCACCAAGGACAACUAAGCUAGUGCACUCCACUCCCUUGCAGGUUAAUACAGGGUUGUCGUAGACAAGACCCUUCUCACUAUACCAGAGCAACUGUUGUCAUUACUCAACUAUACCUGUAUGAGACAGAUGAUGGGGAUCCCAUUCACUCCCUUGACCCUUGGAGUUUCGCCGGCACCAGGAAUACAUCUCCGUUUAUAGGAAGUUUGGGAACUACGCUACAACUAGUUCUGGAAGGACAUAAUUUGAACAGGUCUGACGUUAUAAGGCGUUUAGGACAAACCGAGCCAUUGUACCCAAAGGAUAUGGAUAACAUUGAAGACGUGGAGGACACUUCAAGUAAAACCUCCAAAAGAACGGAACAUCAGACCAAAGAGACGUUACCUGUAGACCUAGAGUUGUUAAAGGAAAGGGUUUCCCUCAUGCAAAAGCACAUCCGAGAGCUGGAAGCAAUGAUAGAGGGGAAAGAGCACCAUGCGCAGACCGCCAAAGAAGUGAGGGAGAAGGAGAAGAGCCGAAUAGCUGUAUCCAGAAAAAAGGCAGCAUUCUCAUGAUGAGCAACAACAAGAAAUGACGAAGAGGACGGUCAGGAGGAAGAGGAGUGGAUCCAUUCUUCCCACCCCGGGAAGAGCAUAGCACAUAACUCUCGGGCGCUAUACGGAGAAUGACAAAAGAAUAGGCGAACGACAGGGGGACGUGCUUACAUCCCGCGUCUCCAAUCUAGCCCUUUCUUGGAGGAAAUCUUGGUUGACAUCCUACCUAGCCAUUACAAGCCAAUCAAUAUGGAAUAUGAUGGUUCCGAGGAUCUAGAGGUACACAUGGCCAUAUUCGAAACCGUGGUGAUGCUUCACCAAUACUCUGAAGGCAUUAAGUGUCGGUUAUUGUGAGACUCAUAACACCUAUCUAAUUUUAAUAAUACUAGACUGAAGCAUAAAUUGGAUUAAUUGUUUAUUGAUCUGAUUCUUGAACUGAACCUUUAUCAAAUUCAGUCUAGUGCUCACUCUCAAACUUGAAACUCUUAGACUGAAAUUUUGUGUCAUAUCCUUAGUAUCAGUCAAGAUUACUUCAGUUUAUGAAAGUGAGUUUUUCAAAAGAAGCUUUAAAAGUUUUAAAAGUCAAAAUUAGUCUUCUGGUGUAUUCCCUCCCCCCCAAUACACCAGUUCCGUAACCCUCAUGGGCCCAACAUUGUGAACUUGCAAAUAUAUUAUUUUUGAAAUUACAAUAUAUGGUAUUGUAGAAUUACGUUGAUAUUGGUACUUGAUUAAAUUUAAUGAUUUUGUGUGAAUUGAUUUGUCUGAUUAGUACUGCGUUUAAAACUAAAGAAUUGAGAAAAACACAUUUGGUCUUUUUGAAUAAAUCUAUAUAAAAUUAGCGAUUGCAAGUAUAAUGUGACUCAUAACAUAUAUCAAUUAAAUAAAAUUGGUAUCAAUUAUAAAUGUGAGAAUUUAUUGUUAACGAGUGAUGGUAAAGUAUAAAAUUUGAAAAUCAAUAUAAAAAAAAGGAAAAGUUUAGUUAAUCAGGUAAUUAAGUUGAUUUUCAAAUUAAUUCUAUUGAUCUAAACCCUUAAACUUCAAUCAUAUUGGAUUGUCAAGCUAUUUGAUUAUAUGUCAUUCAAAUUUGAAAUUUUCACUUUUUAUAUUCAAUUUAUCCAGAAUCAUCUAUUGAUUUCUGAUUAAAUUGAUAUGAAUUUAAAAAGUAUAUUCACAAACUUUAUGUAUAUAAGAAAGCAUUUUAAAUUUUUUUUAUGAAGCUAAUAUAUUUUUUUGCCUUCUUUGUAUAACUUCAAUGCGUAUAUUUUUUUUCAUUUAAUCAAGCUCUUAUAUAAAUUUAUAUGUACAAUAUUAUAUCAUGAAAUAAAAUGAUCCUGUCACAUAUGCGUAGGUGAUAGACUAGUUAUGAUAAUUUAGUAUAACGAUCAUCUUCAAGAGGUUCAUGAAGAUGUAAUUGAUUUCCAAUUAUUAACUAUAUAUGACGGAAUAUACAUAUAAUUAAUACAAUCCAAAUUAUUUAUUUUCUUUAAUUACUCAAAUAUUAUCUAUCUAUCUUUAAACUUUAUCAUAUUAAAAAAAAAAGCAUAAAUUAGGGUGCUACGUAUACAUAUAGAAACAAACAUUAAACAUAUCUGAUUGAUUUUCAUUUAAAUACAUAUUUGAUCACAUACAAUGGAUACAUUUAUUCGAAGAGCAUAUAGAGGCUUAUCCACCUUCAUACAUUAAAAUUACUGAUAGGCGACAUGAGACCACACGCAAUAACAUAAACACGAGACAACAUACAACAUGAACUUGAUAAUUAACUUUUUCACUUUCCUGACUUAUCUCCAAUCGCAUCGUCAUGGUCAUCAGCAUCUAUAAGGAUAUCAGGUUUUGGCUCAAAAUCUUUGCAGAAGAUUUCUCACUUGUGGCUUUGUGACCAUCCUCAUUGGAAUUGUCAUGAUUAAUUAUAUAGAAAGAAAUUGGGUCUUGGCUCAAAAUCUUUUACAGAAGAUUCCUCAC